rnacentral:rRNA from 1 species
AACGUAGGAGACGAACGUUAUCCGGAAUUAUUGGGCGUAAAGCGUCCGUAGGUGGUUAUUCAAGUCUUUUGUUAAAUAGUGGAGCUCAACUCCAUAGAGGCGGAAGAAACUGAGUAACUUGAGUGCGGUAGGGGUAGAGGGAAUUCCAGGUGUAGCGGUGAAAUGCGUAGAUAUCUGGAAGAACACCAGUGGCGAAGGCGCUCUACUGGGCCGUAACUGACACUGAGGGACGAAAGCUAGGGGAGCGAAAGGG